UGAGCUUUUUGAGAACCAGGAGGAUGGUGAAGCUAAACUAUUUCGUUGUAUGUUUGUAAAUAAAUUUUAGGGAUGAGCUGUGGGACUUUCAUGUCAGCUUUUGCCAUAUCGAGAGAAUGGGGAAGAAGUAUUGAAGUGCCAAUCCAAAUUUCCAUUCAGUAUGUUUCUCUUGAAAGCUGCCUUGCUGUAAAGGUAAUCAGUGGCUGCCUAAGUUCUGCGGCUGUUGAAUGGUUGAUGUCAAGCUUCCUACUCUCCACAAGGCACUUCACAAUUGCAAGCGACUGAGCUUUUUGGCUAACUCCAGCCAUUAGAAUUUUGAGGAAAAGCAAGGCAAAGUUGGAAUAUUAUCCAUCAUUCUUUUCUAUAUUUAUUGAAACAGUUUAAAAUUGUGUUUCGACGAUUUCCCAUUAUUUUAUUUAUCUCUGUAAUCUAGGAGAGACUAGAUUUAUAUCACUCUUGCAGCCAAUCAAAGGGUGAAAUUGUCAAAUUGAGACCGACCAGGGAAACGUUUAAUUCCAUGUAUAUAAGCAUUAGAGACUUGAUUCUACGUAGGAUAUCACAUGGAACUUGGCACUUUGAUGGCCACAAACAAAGAGAAAAAAAAAAAUUGUAGCGAGAAGAAUGAUUUUAUUUUGGGACCA